rnacentral:rRNA from 1 species
CCUACGGGCGGCAGCAGUAGGGAAUAUUGCUCAAUGGGGGAAACCCUGAAGCAGCAACGCCGCGUGGAGGAUGAAGGUUUUCGGAUUGUAAACUCCUUUUGUUAGAGAAGAUAAUGACGGUAUCUAACGAAUAAGCACCGGCUAACUCCGUGCCAGCAGCCGCGGUAAUACGGAGGGUGCAAGCGUUACUCGGAAUCACUGGGCGUAAAGAGGGCGUAGGCGGGAUAGCAAGUCAGAUGUGAAAUCCUAUGGCUUAACCAUAGAACUGCAUUUGAAACUGUUAUUCUAGAGUAUGGGAGAGGUAGGUGGAAUUCUUGGUGUAGGGGUAAAAUCCGUAGAGAGCAAGAGGAAUACUCAUUGCGAAGGCGACCUGCUAGAACAUAACUGACGCUGAUGCGCGAAAGCGUGGGGAGCAAACAGGAUCAGAUACCCGAGUAGUC